rnacentral:rRNA from 1 species
UACGAAGGGUCCAAGCGUUAUCCGGAUUUAUUGGGUUUAAAGGGUGCGUAGGCGGGUUGUUAAGUCAGUGGUGAAAUCUUGCAGCUUAACUGUAAAAUUGCCAUUGAUACUGACGAUCUUGAGUACACUUGAAGUGGGCGGAAUGUGUCAUGUAGAGGUGAAAUUCUUAGAGAUGACAUAGAACACCGAUUGCGAAGGCAGCUCACUAAAUUGUAACUGACGCUGAGGCACGAAAGCGUGGGGAUCAAACAGG